GGGUUGUGAGGUUAAGCGACUAAGCGUACACGGUGGAUGCCCUGGCAGUCAGAGGCGAUGAAGGGCGUGCUAAUCUGCGAUAAGCGCCGGUAAGGUGAUAUGAACCGUUAUAACCGGCGAUACCCGAAUGGGGAAACCCAGUGUGAUUCGUCACACUAUCAUUAACUGAAUCCAUAGGUUAAUGAGGCGAACCGGGGGAACUGAAACAUCUAAGUACCCCGAGGAAAAGAAAUCAACCGAGAUUCCCCCAGUAGCGGCGAGCGAACGGGGAGGAGCCCAGAGCCUGAAUCAGCAUGUGUGUUAGUGGAAGCGUCUGGAAAGGCGCGCGAUACAGGGUGACAGCCCCGUACACAAAAGCGCAUGUGCUGUGAGCUCGAUGAGUAGGGCGGGACACGUGGUAUCCUGUCUGAAUAUGGGGGGACCAUCCUCCAAGGCUAAAUACUCCUGACUGACCGAUAGUGAACCAGUACCGUGAGGGAAAGGCGAAAAGAACCCCGGCGAGGGGAGUGAAAAAGAACCUGAAACCGUGUACGUACAAGCAGUGGGAGCACCCUUUGGGUGUGACUGCG
rnacentral:rRNA from 1 species